UCCGUAGGUGAACCUGCGGAAGGAUCAUUACCUAGAGUUGUAGGCUUUGCCUGCUAUCUCUUACCCAUGUCUUUUAAGUACCUUACGUUUCCUCGGCGGGUCCGCCCGCCGAUUGGACAAUUUAAACCAUUUGCAGUUGCAAUCAGCGUCUGAAAAAACUUAAUAGUUACAACUUUCAACAACGGAUCUCUUGGUUCUGGCAUCGAUGAAGAACGCAGCGAAAUGCGAUAAGUAGUGUGAAUUGCAGAAUUCAGUGAAUCAUCGAAUCUUUGAACGCACAUUGCGCCCCUUGGUAUUCCAUGGGGCAUGCCUGUUCGAGCGUCAUUUGUACCUUCAAGCUCUGCUUGGUGUUGGGUGUUUGUCUCGCCUCUGCGCGCAGACUCGCCUCAAAACAAUUGGCAGCCGGCGUAUUGAUUUCGGAGCGCAGUACAUCUCGCGCUUUGCACUCAUAACGACGACGUCCAAAAGUACAUUUUUACACUCUUGACCUCGGAUCAGGUAGGGAUACCCGCUGAACUUAAGCAUAUCAAUAAGCGGAGGA
rnacentral:rRNA from 1 species